AAUAGAAACAGGUUACUGUAUGUCUCCUAUUCCGCUACAGCUGUCUGCAUUACUUGUUUUUCCCCUGCAGUUUAUGUAAGGUGAAUGAGACCUGAAUUAUAAAUUGAUUAGCUAUUGUGUGCAGAAAAAAUAAUAAAGAAACCUAAUGAAGUACAGGAGAUACUUGAAGCUAUCUGGAUUUUAAUUUGUGCAGCUAACAUUGUAAAAGCAUGCACGCUCCUGUGAGAUACCAGAAGUACCAAAUACAAAAGUUAAUUGAACAUGGCAUUUAUCAGAAAGAAGCAAAUGUUAAAACUAUGUUACGCUGAUACAGACAGUCAAUUCAAUGUAACAGCAAGGACAGCAACAGGAAAUGGACAAGUCAAUCAACUACCUCUGUGACUGUACCACGUUCUCCUGCCUGCCUUGGAGUCUCUGUGGGCCCUCUGAAGAAAGGCAGGUAAGCAG